UAAGUACUCCCUCCGUCCGAAAAUACUUGUCGAAGAAAUGGGUAAAAAUGGAUGUAUAUCUAGAACUAAAAUACGUCUAGAUACAUCCAUUUCUCCGACAAGUAUUUCCGGAUGGAGGGAGUAGUAG
rfam:Triticum urartu cultivar G1812 contig1187933, whole genome shotgun sequence.